rnacentral:rRNA from 1 species
GACAGAGGGGGCAAGCGUUGCUCGGAAUCACUGGGCGUAAAGGGCGCGUAGGCGGGCGGCCAAGUCAGGGGUGAAAGCCUCCAGCUCAACUGGAGAAGUGCCUUUGAUACUGGCCAUCUUGAGGGAGGUAGGGGCGUGCGGAACUUCCGGUGGAGCGGUGAAAUGCGUAGAUAUCGGAAGGAACACCGGUGGCGAAAGCGGCGCGCUGGACCUCUUCUGACGCUGAGGCGCGAAAGCCAGGGGAGCAAACGGG